UGGUCAAUGGCCGAGAGGCUGAACCAGCCAAGUCGCGUGAGGGAUGAAGGUUCUAUGGAUCGUAAACCUCUUUUAUAAGGGAAUAAAGUGCGGGACGUGUCCCGUUUUGUAUGUACCUUAUGAAUAAGGAUCGGCUAACUCCGUGCCAGCAGCCGCGGUAAUACGGAGGAUCCGAGCGUUAUCCGGAUUUAUUGGGUUUAAAGGGUGCGUAGGCGGCCUUUUAAGUCAGCGGUGAAAGUCUGUGGCUCAACCAUAGAAUUGCCGUUGAAACUGGGGGGCUUGAGUAUGUUUGAGGCAGGCGGAAUGCGUGGUGUAGCGGUGAAAUGCAUAGAUAUCACGCAGAACCCCGAUUGCGAAGGCAGCCUGCCAAGCCAUUACUGACGCUGAUGCACGAAAGCGUGGGGAUCAAACAGGAUUAGAUACCCUGGUAGUCCACGCAGUAAACGAUGAUCACUAGCUGUUUGCGAUACACUGUAAGCGGCACAGCGAAAGCGUUAAGUGAUCCACCUGGGGAGUACGCCGGCAACGGUGAAACUCAAAGGAAUUGACGGGGGCCCGCACAAGCGGAGGAACAUGUGGUUUAAUUCGAUGAUACGCGAGGAACCUUACCCGGGUUUGAACGCAUUCGGACCGAGGUGGAAACACCUUUUCUAGCAAUAGCCGUUUGCGAGGUGCUGCAUGGUUGUCGUCAGCUCGUGCCGUGAGGUGUCGGCUUAAGUGCCAUAACGAGCGCAACCCUUGCCACUAGUUACUAACAGGUAAAGCUGAGGACUCUGGUGGGACUGCCAGCGUAAGCUGCGAGGAAGGCGGGGAUGACGUCAAAUCAGCACGGCCCUUACAUCCGGGGCGACACACGUGUUACAAUGGCGUGGACAAAGGGAAGCCACCUGGCGACAGGGAGCGAAUCCCCAAACCAC
rnacentral:rRNA from 1 species